rnacentral:rRNA from 1 species
UACGUAGGUGGCAAGCGUUGUCCGGAAUUAUUGGGCGUAAAGAGCGCGUAGGCGGUGCGGUAAGUCACCUGUGAAACCUCUGGGCUUAACCCAGAGCCUGCAGGCGAAACUGCCGUGCUAGAGUGUGGGAGAGGUGCGUGGAAUUCCCGGUGUAGCGGUGAGAUGCGUAGAUAUCGGGAGGAACACCUGUGGCGAAAGCGGCGCACUGGACCACAACUGACGCUGAGGCGCGAAAGCUAGGGGAGCAAACAGG